CUUUAAUUAUUAUGUUUAAUUGUGCAGAGAGAGCAACUGCAAAAACACGAAUAUACAUUGAUGUUCCAGUAAGCUUUUAUGGAAUAAAUGAAGACCAACAGUGAAAAGAAAAUGCUGAGGAAACAAAUGAAGAGCUCUUUGGAAAUGUCAGAUUUUAUUGGACCACAUCUGAAAGCCCCGAGAGAGCAGAGAAGGAUGUUGUUGAUUAGAGGGGAGAAUACUAAUGCUUACUUUGCCCCUUCAGUGUUCAGUUCUCUAUCUCUUUGGAAGAAACCUUAAGCAAGGCUUGAAGGAACAACUAUCUAGGAAGAUGCCAUUUGUUAUCAGAUAUUGGAGUAAGGUGCUAAUUGACGAGAUUGUACACAGGUUUGUGGAUCAGGAUAUACUU
rnacentral:lncRNA from 1 species